CUUAAAUCAUCACAAACCAAAUAACAUUUUCUUGGUAUUUGAAAAACUGAUAAAAUAUUUGAUUACGUGUAUUUUAAUAUAUAUACAUAGAGUGGUAUGGAUGUUGAAUUUAUAUUUUUGACAUCUUUUCACCAGUUUGCAAUAGGUGACCUAAAUGAUCAAUUUCCAAAAUAAUCAUGUAUAUCACCUGGACAGGUUAAUCCCUAAUACUCUUUUACUUUGCAUUGACUGGCCUU
rnacentral:lncRNA from 1 species